ACCGCGGUAGCCCAGUUGGUUAAGGCGUCGGCAGUACUGAUGGCGAAGGUCGCAAGUUCAAAUCCUGCCUGCGGUG